GCCUAUAGCUCGCUGCCCAGCGAUAACGCUGGCCGUUCACACACGCAUUUACAAAAUCGUUAAUAAUUCCGCUUGUAGACGUCGUAGCGACCUGAAACAAGAAUCAUUGUAAAGGGAAAAUUAUCGCGCUUCCGACGAACGUGAAUCGUUCUUCUGUAGAGUAUAAAUCAAACAGCGUGAUCUUAUCUGUCACAGAAUUUCUGAGAUUGUACUGCAGAGCCAGCUAGAGUUCCGGUGAAUGCGGAUGCCGUACCGGAGGAUCCGGUUCGGGCCGAGCAGGGUUAGCUCGAAGAUCUGAAGGCGAAACGUGGCUGACCCUGAGUUUCGUUUUUUUGGUGAGUGAGAAACAUGGAUUAAAAAUUGAUAGGUGAUGGGAACAAAUUUGGUGUGACUUUUAUAAAACUCGUUCGAAUCAAUGCGAUUUACUGACAGUAGAUUUUUGCAUGCCCUUGUAUGAAAUAUAUCACUCGAAACAAGCAAGGAAUCUUUUUCGAAUAUUUAUACUAUCCAUUAAAUAUUUGAUGUAUUGAAUACAUUCCUCUUCUUUCCUAACAUUAAGAAAGUUCUUAACUUUUUAACAUUAAGAUUCAGUUUUUCUAAAAACAUAUCUAAUUGUAAUA